UACGGAGGGGGCUAGCGUUGUUCGGAAUUACUGGGCGUAAAGGGCACGUAGGCGGCCCAUCUAGUCAGGCGUGAAAGCCCCGGGCUCAACCUGGGAAUUGCGCUUGAUACUGGUGGGCUAGAGUCCGGGAGAGGAUAGUGGAAUUCCAAGUGUAGAGGUGAAAUUCGUAGAUAUUUGGAAGAACACCAGUGGCGAAGGCGGCUAUCUGGACCGGUACUGACGCUGAGGUGCGAAAGCGUGGGGAGCAAACAGG
rnacentral:rRNA from 1 species